CCUACGGGUGGCAGCAGUGAGGAAUAUUGGUCAAUGGGCGUAAGCCUGAACCAGCCAAGUCGCGUGAGGGAUGACGGUCCUAUGGAUUGUAAACCUCUUUUAUCAGGGGAUAAAGUGCGGCACGUGUGCCGUUUUGUAGGUACCGCAUGAAUAAGGAUCGGCUAACUCCGUGCCAGCAGCCGCGGUAAUACGGAGGGUCCGGGCGUUAUCCGGAUUUAUUGGGUUUAAAGGGUGCGUAGGCCGCAUUUUAAGUCUGCCGUGAAAUGCCGUGGCUCAACCAUCGCACUGCCGCUGAAACUGGCAUGCUUGAGUAUGCGGGACGUACGCGGAAUGCGUGGUGUAGCGGUGAAAUGCUUAGAUAUCACGAAGAACCCCGAUUGCGAAGGCAGCAUACCGGGGCACUACUGACGCUGAAGCACGAAAGCGUGGGUAUCGAACAGGAUUAGAUACCCCUGUAGUC
rnacentral:rRNA from 1 species